rnacentral:rRNA from 1 species
AGUAAAUAGAUACCCGGGUAGUCCACGCCGUAAACGAUGUCGACUUGGAGGUUGUGCCCUUGAGGCGUGGCUUCCGGAGCUAAACGCGUUAAAGUCGACCGCCUGGGGAGUACGGCCGCAAGGUUAAAACUCAAAUGAAUUGACGGGGGCCCGCACAAGCGGUGGAGCAUGUGGUUUAAUUCGAUGCAACGCGAAGAACCUUACCUACUCUUGACAUCCAGAGAACUUAGCAGAGAUGCUUUGGUGCCUUCGGGAACUCUGAGACAGGUGCUGCAUGGCUGUCGUCAGCUCGUGUUGUGAAAUGUUGGGUUAAGUCCCGCAACGAGCGCAACCCUUAUCCUUUGUUGCCAGCGGUUAGGCCGGGAACUCAAAGGAGACUGCCAGUGAUAAACUGGAGGAAGGUGGGGAUGACGUCAAGUCAUCAUGGCCCUUACGAGUAGGGCUACACACGUGCUACAAUGGCGCAUACAAAGAGAAGCGACCUCGCGAGAGCAAGCGGACCUCAUAAAGUGCGUCGUAGUCCGG